GAGUGAACGCUGGCGGUAGGCCAAACACAUGCAAGUCGAACGGCAGCACAGUAAGAGCUUGCUCUUACGGGUGGCGAGUGGCGGACGGGUGAGGAAUACAUCGGAAUCUACUUUUUCGUGGGGGAUAACGUAGGGAAACUUACGCUAAUACCGCAUACGACCUACGGGUGAAAGCAGGGGAUCUUCGGACCUUGCGCGAUUGAAUGAGCCGAUGUCGGAUUAGCUAGUUGGCGGGGUAAAGGCCCACCAAGGCGACGAUCCGUAGCUGGUCUGAGAGGAUGAUCGGCCACACUGGAACUGAGACACGGUCCAGACUCCUACGGGAGGCAGCAGUGGGGAAUAUUGGACAAUGGGCGCAAGCCUGAUCCAGCCAUACCGCGUGAGUGAAGAAGGCCUUCGGGUUGUAAAGCCCUUUUGUUGGGAAAGAAAAGCAGCAGGUUAAUACCCCGCUGUUCUGACGGUACCCAAAGAAUAAGCACCGGCUAACUUCGUG
rnacentral:rRNA from 1 species